CCCCUAGAUGUUCUGGGCCGCACGCGCGCUACACUGAACAGUUCAACAAGUCUUAACCUUGGCCGAUAGGUCUGGGUAAUCUUUGAACGCUGUUCGUGAUUGGGAUAGACCUUUGCAAUUAUGGGUCUUCAACGAGGAAUUCCUAGUAAACGCAAGUCAUCAGCUUGCAUUGAUUACGUCCCUGCCCUUUGUACACACCGCCCGUCGCACCUACCGAUUGAAUGGUCCGGUGAAAUCUUCGGACCGGGCGAUGGUCAGCAAUGGCCGCUGCCUGGAAAGUCGCUUAAACCUUACCAUUUAGAGGAAGGUGAAGUCGUAACA
rnacentral:rRNA from 1 species